rfam:Ictidomys tridecemlineatus contig062617, whole genome shotgun sequence.
GGGGCUGAGGCUCAGUGAUAGAGUACUUGCCUUUCAUGUAUGAGUCCCUGGGUUCAAUCCUCAGCACCA